GCACAAAAAGUCAGCCAAAAGACAAUAAACAAGGCCGAGCUCGUCCGCCUUCGUGGCCUGCGCGGCUCCCUCCUUAAAAGGGGAGCCAAGCGACGACAGCUGCUGAGGAGCGCCACCCUUGACUUCUUGUUCCGUAUUUGCUUUACGUUGAGCCUCACGCACAAUACCUGAAGACGACGUUUUGUUCGUUCGGCUCGCGUUACGCAGGUACGGAUCAACACCGACAAGGGAGUCGUUGUUUUUUUUCCGGAUUUAGUCACCGUGGAUGCAUCUGAGAUAAGAUAGGCUCCAGCACUCACCCGGAAAAGGACAAGCGGUAGAAAAAUGCAUGGAUGGAUUCACGGUGCAAUCGACAAUUAUUGUUUUUUUUUCUCAAUAAAAGACAUUUUUAACCCAGUAGGAAAUGAGAACGAGUAACUUUUGUGAGAAUGUCUUUAAAAAAAGUUAUGUUGCCUUGUUUGCUUACAGCUGGAAAAACCUGACUUGUACAUUGAAAUCAUCUAAAUAAAGAAUAAAAAAAGUUAAAAAAA